rnacentral:rRNA from 1 species
UACGGAGGAUGCAAGCGUUAUCCGGAUUCAUUGGGUUUAAAGGGUGCGCAGGCGGAGUGAUAAGUCAGUGGUGAAAUCCUACGGCUCAACUGUAGAACUGCCAUUGAUACUGUCAUUCUUGAGUACUGUUGAGGUGGGCGGAAUGUGUCAUGUAGCGGUGAAAUGCUUAGAUAUGACACAGAACACCGAUCGCGAAGGCAGCUCACCAAGCAGAAACUGACGCUCAUGCACGAAAGCGUGGGGAUCAAACAGG